rnacentral:rRNA from 1 species
UACGGGGGGAGCAAGCGUUGUUCGGAUUUACUGGGCGUAAAGGGCGCGUAGGCGGCCACCGCAAGUCGACUGUGAAAUCUCUGAGCUUAACUCAGAACGGUCAAGUGAUACUGCUUUGCUAGAGUGCAGAAGGGGCAACCGGAAUUCUUGGUGUAGCGGUGAAAUGCGUAGAUAUCAAGAGGAACACCGGAGGUGAAGACGGGUUGCUGGGCUGACACUGACGCUGAGGCGCGAAAGCUAGGGUAGCAAACGGG